AGUAGCGUGGAUGGAGAGAAUAACGCGGUGCUGGAGGAACAAUUGAAAAAUGGAUAAGAUAAUACAACAAAAGGAUGAUCAAAUUAUGAAGCUGCAGGCCCAAUUAUUGGAACAACACAAAAUAUUAGAUAACAGCAAAGCUAAGGAUGCUCAAAUUUUGAGUCUACAAGCUCAGCUAGGGGAAAAGAACAAAUUGGAACGAAACAGUUUCCAAACAGUGAAGGAGGUUUUUCAAAACUCUUCCCUAACUGAACAUGAGGGUGAGUUGGCAUUAGGC